rnacentral:rRNA from 1 species
UGGGGAAUAUUGCACAAUGGGCGCAAGCCUGAUGCAGCAAUGCCGCGUGUAUGAAGAAGGCCUUAGGGUUGUAAAGUACUUUCAGCGGGGAGGAAGGGAGUACAGUUAAUACCUUUGCUCAUUGACGUUACCCGCAGAAGAAGCACCGGCUAACUCCGUGCCAGCAGCCGCGGUAAUACGGAGGGUGCACGCGUUAAUCGGAAUUACUGGGCGUAAAGCGCACGCAGGCGGUUUGUUAAGUCAGAUGUGAAAUCCCCCGGCUCAACCUAGGAACUGCAUCUGAUACUGGCAAGCUUGGGUCUCGUAGAGGGGGGUAGAAUUCCAAGUGUAGCGGUGAAAAGCGUAGAGAUCUGGGGGAAUACCGGUGGCGAAGGCGGCCCCCUGGACGAAGACUGACGCUCAGGUGCGAAAACGUGGGGAGCAAACAGG